AGAGUUUGAUCAUGGCUCAGAACGUACGCUGGCGGCACGCCUAACACAUGCAAGUCGAACGAAGUAGCAAUACUUAGUGGCAGACGGGUGAGUAACAUGUAGGUAUCUGCCCUUUGGCCUGGAAUAACACGAGGAAACUUGUGCUAAUACCGGAUAAGUCUUUACGGAGAAAGCUUUAUGCACCAUUGGAUGAGCCUGCACUUGAUUAGUUUGUUGGUGGGGUAAUGGCCUACCAAGACUGUGAUCAAUAGCUGAUUUGAGAGGAUGAUCAGCCACAUUGGGACUGAGACACGGCCCAAACUCCUACGGGAGGCAGCAGUGGGGAAUCUUGCACAAUGGAGGAAACUCUGAUGCAGCGAUGCCGCGUGAGUGAAGAAGGCCCUUGGGUUGUAAAGCUCUUUCGUCGGGGAAGAAAAUGACUGUACCCGAAUAAGAAG
rnacentral:rRNA from 1 species